GAGGAUAUAGCUCAGUGAUACAGUGUGUGCUUAAUAUCCAUGAGGUUCUGGGUUCAAUUCCCAGUACCUCCA
rnacentral:tRNA from 1 species